GCUGGAGAAUAAUCUUCAGCAAUGUGCAAUAAAGGCAGAUGUUCAUGCAGUUAUCCUGGCUUGUUGUGGAAGAGGGAUGUUGGAUGUAUACAGUACUAGCAUAGGGUAAGCAGCCAUCAGUUUAAUUCCUACUGUAACAGGGCCCAUAGUGUGAAAUUUGCAAGAUUUAUUUAUUUUUUUUAAAAUUGCUAUUCUUUCAUAUGCUCCAGGUCCUGAGUUCCAGGAAUCAAAUGGCUCCACAGAGUCCUGGAACGAGAGCCACUAUGGACUCUCAUCUUGGACUAAGGCAGGGCAGUGGGCAUCUUGGCUGAGCUUGCUCAGCUUCACAAAGGAUAAUAACAAAGAGCAUUCUGGGAACUGUAGUUCAGAGACCAUUGCAUAAAACUCCAUUUUAUUUCCUGUCUCAGACUCCUCUCUUCAAAAUGUGAUCCCUUCAACAGCAUAGAUUCUAACAGCGCAAGGCAAUUUAAGGGAGACAACUAUAUUUUACGAACAUUUAAAGCGCUUUGAAGGAGACUUCCUUUUCUAUGAGCAGCCUCAUGAGGAUGUGGAUAAAGGAUGUGGAGCCCUCAGAUGUUCUACCGACCCUUCACACAAUACCUUAUGUUGCCUUCAGCAUGAAGUUCCAGAUUCAACAGAGUGACUUUACCUUCUCUUCCUGAACGAGCUAACUGACAGACUUGCUCUUAAGAGCACGGAGUGUGGGUGUACAAAGGGGGCUGCAGGAUGGGAGGAGGCCUGGAAAUGUGGCUGGCCAGUGUGCAAAGGAGAGUUGAGAACAAUAAGCGGGAGGAGGGGUUGCAAAAAGAGAGGAAGCAGGAGGCAUGGGAAUGUGGUUGAAGAUGAGAGCAGGGGCAUGAGAGCUUCUGCAGAACAGGAAAGAUUGGUGGCUUCAUAGCUGGGUGGAAAGUGAAAUGGGUGCUUUGUAGCUGCGCUGUGUGGGAGGAGGAAGAUGCAGGCAGGGCCAGCCCAAGACAUUUUGUUACCUGAGGCGAACCACAAAAUCACACUCACUCUCUCUCUCU